UACGAAGGGGCUAGCGUUGUUCGGAAUUACUGGGCGUAAAGCGCGCGUUAGGCGGUUUUUGCAAGCCAGAGGUGAAAUGACCUGAGCUCAACUCAGGAAUGGCCUUUGGGACUGCGAGGCUUUGAGGACUGGAGAGGUGAGUGGAAUUCCCAGUGUAGAGGUGAAAUUCGUAGAUAUUGGGAAGAACACCGGUGGCGAAGGCGGCUCACUGGCCAGUUUCUGACGCUGUAGCGACGAAAGC
rnacentral:rRNA from 1 species